CCUACGGGAGGCAGCAGUAGGGAAUCUUCCGCAAUGGACGAAAGUCUGACGGAGCAACGCCGCGUGAGUGAUGAAGGUUUUCGGAUCGUAAAACUCUGUUGUUAGGGAAGAACAAGUACAAGAGUAACUGCUUGUACCUUGACGGUACCUACCAG
rnacentral:rRNA from 1 species